rnacentral:tRNA from 1 species
GGGGAAUUAGCUCAAAUGGUAGAGCGCUUGCUUAGCAUGCGAGAGGUAGCGGGAGCGACGCCCGCAUUCUCCA